CUGAGCUACCGGGGGUGCAUCACCGCGGGCCCGGGAACCAAUCCUCCUGUCGGCGGGGGCGUCCCUCCCUGCGGCUUGGUGGUGUCGGAACAAAAUGCCGACCGGAAGUGCAGCUGCAGGAAUGACUCCCUCCGCCGGCGCCAAACACUAACAACCACCCCCUCUUCCCCACUCCACUUCCGCCACCGCCGCAGCCGCCGCCGCCGCCACUUGGGCUAGCGUCCUCGGCUGCGCCGCGCCUCGCCAGAGCCCGGCCGGGGCCAGCAGCCAGGCUGCGGCGGAUCUCCUCUACGCCCUUCUCUUCCUCAGCGCUGCUGUGGAUGUUGGCUGUAUGUUGAUCCUGCAGAGCGGCGUUUGCGCUGCGGCACGGGCGGGCCGGUCCUCCUCGGUCUUUAUUUUUCUGGAGGCCCGCAGGAGCGGGGCCCCAGUUCGGUGCUGGUGGUCGUAGGGGCUGCUGAGGCCCGGAUGGGCUCCGAGGCCGUGGACGACGGCGGCUGGAGGCCGGGCUCGCUGUCCCGGCUCGGCAUUAGCUUUAAGGAGCCGAGCUCCUGGCGGCUGCGUAGAGGACGCCCGCGAUUCGACGGCGAUGGUGCAUUUUUUAAAUGGUGUCCCUGCAGCCGGGUGGAUGGAUAUAUCAUACGCUUUCUCGCCUUUUGAGAGGCCGGACUUUACGCCCGUCUGUGUGUUAUUUCUGCGGAGUAAACGCAGCUCUUGGAGGUGAAGAAGGCUGCCAGCUGGAUUGAAUUGGAACCAUGUUUGUUAUGCAUUUCUUUCUGGAGAUACGCGGUCUCUGCUGAUCUUGCUUUUUUUUGGCGGUGGUUUUGGUUCUUCCCUAACAGUCGGAUCAAGGCCUGUAGGCGACGCUGUGCGAGCGAGGAGCUGGCCGGCGGCAGACCCGGCUCCCGGCUCCCGGCUCCCGGCUCCGGGCUCCGGGCUCCGGGCUCCCUCUAGGUGUGGGUGGAGCCGAGCGCGCGGGGAGAGCCGCCGGCCCGGCUCCGGCCACUGGCGGACUGUGGGAGACUGCGGGCCUGGAGCUGGCAGAUUUCACACAUCGUUUUCCUCUUCAUAUUUGAAACACUGAGGCACUGGACAAAGCUGGAGUACAAAAAUUGUGAUUAUACUUACAGUACCAAGCUUGUAGUCUCUUAUUGUAAAACAAGAAGUAACUUCAUCGUUCCACAGUUCUCUAUUAAAUUUGUGUAAAUUAAAAGUGGGCUAUUCUUCAGGUAAAAAAAUGCAGUAGGAAAUGGAGAGGAUAUCAAGUGGAAAUAUAAAAGUGGAAAUGUCUCAGUUUUAUAAUCUAAGAUGGAAAACCGUAGAAAAUAGUAACCUUAGAGUCAUGAUGUAGCCAGAUGUAACAGUGAACAUUGCUUAGUAAUUUCAUUUUUAUUUAAAGCUGAAAUUAGCUUCCAAAUAGGCACAUUUUACAAUUAUGAAGUUGGUGCAAUAAGUAGAUCUUAAAUUUAUAUGUAUUUUAAGAAACAAGGGAUAAAGUGUAAUAGAAAAUUAUUACAGUGAAGUAAUUAAAAGAAUGAGACUAUUUUUCAGUUUAAAAAUAGAGAAUAGUAUUGUUUCCUCUACUGUUUAUGAACACAACAAAGCAAUACUCAUUUUGUGAGAGAUGCCUGGAGUAACAGUAGCUAAAUGAUAACUGACAGUUUAUUUAAUAUCAUAUGCAAACUUCAACAUGCCUGAUAGAAUGGGUGCAUAUUGAAUGAAUAGAUACGAUCUAUUAACUAUUUGAAGUAAAACUGUAAGAAUUGGGUGUUAGCUAACAGCAUCAAAAUAAAAAAUUUAAAGGCCCAAACAUCUUUAGUUAAGCAAUAAACUGAAUUAUGCUAGUCUAGCCUAUUAUUCAUUGCAGUUUGUGGAAACAUACUGCCUAAAGCAUAGAAGGACAAUUGGUUGAGGCAAGUUUUAGCAAUAUGUACAUUUGCUCAUGUGUUUAUUCAGACCAAAAAUAGUAUAUUUGAGUACUUACGUCUCCAUAAGACAUGGAGCAUGUCUUCAUUUUAAACCAGACAAAAUUCUCAAAUCGUAUUGAAAGAUUUAAUUUCAUUGAUAUGUGAACAUUCAUACAAAUUCAAUAUGCAACUAUAACUCCAAGAAAAUGGUACUUUGAAGCAAAUCAUUUAAUAUUCAGUGCAAAAGGUAGACUAAACUUCUUGAAGGGUUAGUCCUUUUAUAAUGCUAUAUUAUAUGUUGACAUUAUUUUGUAUAUUGGCAUCUAUUCAUGUCACUUCAUCAUGGCAAUGAUAUCCAAGAUAUAUAGUUCAUCUGAUAUCAGUCCUAGAGACAUUUUAAUGCCAAGAAAAGCAAUGUAACCAGUAUUACUACUUCUAAUUAUGUUCUUCCUUUACACAUGAGUUGUGAUGAAUAUGGGCUAUUAGAAUUGUAUAAACAGCCUGACCUUUUAAAUUAUAUUUUAAAUUUGUUAAUGUUUCCACUCAUGGAAAAAUAGCUGUAACUUUUUAAAAAUUAUAUUAAUAAAGUAGCAACAGCUUUACCAUGAACUGUUUCCUAAUUGUUAAGCAUAAUAAUGGGUUAACUCAUAUCAAAGUCCAGUAAAAACUAUUAACUUUGCCACCAAAGUCAACAUCUCAGAAUCUAACAUAUGUAGUAUAGGUAUUUCUGUUUUAUCUAGUUUUUAUUUAAUAAUGUAAGAUUCAGGCUAUAACAAACUCAAAACCAAACAAAGGCUUGGAAAGAAAAUAGUCGAAAAAAAGAAAAGAAAGAGAAACGGAAAAAAGAAAGAAAAUAACUCAUACCUUGUCUUAUUCCCAAGUAAGGAGUGGUGACCAUUUAGGACAGGCAUCAAAAAGUGACUUAGAACAAAAUCAGGAAGUUUGAGUAAAGAAUUUUUCUCUUCCUAAAAAAUUAAAUAUAAAAGUCAGGAAUUUAUACCCACACAUGAAUACUGUUUUUAACAUAGUUCUUUAGGCAUUUGAAAUAUUUUCUUUUUGAGAAACAGCAUCACAACCCAAAUUUCUUUAGUAGUCAUGUUUCUGAUUUAUCAGCUUAUUUCUGUUUUACACUACUGAAUUCUGUACUGCUUCUAAAGCACCUCUCUAAUGUAGCUUUCUCAGUAUUGCCUUCUUCCUAAUACUAACAUUAAGAUUCGCUAGCUAUCUCCAAUACAUUCUGAUGAUUCCUUAUGAUCAUAUCUAAGCAAACUAUGUAACUUUUGUUUGAUAUAAGGGGAAAUAGCUUACAUUAUGAAUUUAGAAGUGAUUUUACUAGUACUUGACAAUACUUUAUAUAAGCAAAAGUAUUUUUAAUUAAAGAACUUAUUGCACAUCUUAUAGGCUUUCUGCAGCAAAUUUUGAAUGUCCAUUUCAGCUAGAAGCUUAGAAAUGAUAAUACCUUAGGUUUAAUCUUGUGUUUACAUUAAACCUUUUGGGUUUUAAUUCUACCUACAAUAUUGCUGUAAAAACAUAGUUGUGACAUCUGGCUCUUUAAGAGGUACUCACCAGAAAACUGGUUUGAAAACUAUUUUGACUACGAUGUAACUAUUUAUUCAAUAUGAUAAGAGGUAAGUAUGCCUCUGAAUAGAAGUAAGCCUCUAAUUCUCUAUAUUUUUAGAAAUAUUAUUGUAUUCUAAGAAUAUCAGAAGAAUAUGUGCUGCUUAAAGAAAUUUUGAGUUUGCAUUUCCAAGGUGGCAGAUAAGAAUGAACAACAUAAGAAUGUACAACAUUCUUAUCACUAUAAACUAUAGAUUAUUCAUUCAACCCAGCACCUUUGUACUAGAAACAGUGAAUAUACAAUGAAUAACUUGGUCUCUUUCCUCGUAUGGCUCACAGCCCAAAAGACUAGCUCAAAUAUAUUUAAAACAGUGAGAUAAGUAAGUGACAAUAAAUUGUAUCACAAGUGCUAUGAAAAUACCAAAGAUAACCUAAAAGUUUUGAAAAAAGCUUCAUAGGAGAGGUGAAUGUUGAACAUUAGUGAAAGAUAAAUAAUUUUCCAAGUAGAUAAGAGGGUGAUAGAAAGGAAAUAAGCCAUUCUAAAGAGGGAGGAACAUAUAUAUGUACAUGAGAAAGUUCCUUAUAUUUCAAAAUCUGAAAAUUGGUUUGGAUAGAAUACACAUUAGGUAAGGAGGCUGGGAUCUGGGUACUGCAGUCUAAAAAGAGUUUGGAUAUUACCCAACAUUCAACAGGUAAAUAUGAAAGAAUUUUCCAUACAGGAAAUAAAAUUUUCAUUUUAGAAUAAUGCUACAAUUAACGUUAAAAACAAGUAACUAUUACCAAAAAAAGGGACAAUACUUAAUGAAAAUGGUGAAUCUGGAAAUUUCAUAUAAUUUAGAAAUAUGUAUCCAGCUGUAAAAAUGUACUCUGACCUAGUAUUUUCUCAUCUGGGUUUUUGAUGUGGCUAUAUUGCUUUUGUAAUUUCAAUGAAAACAGAAAGAAGUUUAGGCACCUGAAUGAAAAAAGGGUAGGAAUAUGAGAGAGGCUGGAGAAAGGUGAAUCAAUGAGAAAGCUAAUUUAAUAGGUCAAGUGAGAUAUGAGGGCUUGGCUGUGGGAGCAGGGCUGUAGAGGAGGGGGUAGAUUUGAAAGAUAAAGUAGAAUUAAGGACUUGCUGAACCAGUGGAUAUAUAAAGUAAGAGAAAGUGGGGGCACUGGGGAUGGAGUCAAUUAUUACUGACAAUAGGCUUAGUUCUCUAGAUGGGAUACUGGUGCCAUUGAACGAGAUAGAGAUACAGGUGACAAUUUAGGCUUACAGCAGAAAGGAAUAAGAAUAAAUUUGGUUUUAGGUAAGUUAAAUUUGAGAUGCCUGUUAAACUCUCAUUUUAAUGACGUCUGGUUAGGCAGUUGGAAAUACGUGUGAAUACUCAGGAAACAGCUAGAUUACACAGAUAAGAGUCCUCUUCGUGUAGGUAAUAGUGGAAACCACAAAGUAGAACCCAGGGAAAGUUAAAAUGAGAAGCAGCCAAGGAAUUAUAAGGACCACUAAGAAAAAAGUAAGCUACCAAAGUUUGCUAUGAUUUAAUAAUCUAUCACCUUCCCCCAAAAUAUUUGAGAAGAAUCCUUUUAUUUAUAAGACAUAUUUAGUCAAAUAUAACAUUCUGGGCCCUAAAAUCAUUAACCUAUAAAAUCUUAUAUUAUUUAAUCCUGGAAGUUAUUUAAUUACUAUGUCCUUCUUUUGAUUUUACUUAAAAAUGGGAGACUAGGAAAACAGAAGUUAAUUUCCUAAGAGAGAAAGAAAAAAGGUUGAUAACUUAUUUUAUUUUUUAGCAGCAUAUUCUUCUUAACAUUAAAUAAUACUUGCAACGGAGAUCUAGGAAGUUUAGUUACAGUUUCCAAACUUUCCAAGAAGUUUCUGUUCUAGGUGCCAAUCCAAUGCACACUUCUCCCUGACUAUUCUUGCUGCUUCACUUAUACCACUCCUUCUUGAUCUGUUUCUCUUACUACCAAUCCUCUCAUAAUAUCUAUCUAGCCACCAUUGGUCUCCACUGUCCCCACAGAUUUUGGUUUCUUCAAAUCAAGAGCAAUAUCAUAGUCUUGAUUGUUCAUGUCACCUAGUGGUAAGAGAGACACUAGCAUGACAGGGUGGAAGUGAAGAUUAUACCAUAUUUCAGAGGUUUUCAUGUUUUUCAGUAAUGAAUCACAACAAUCAGAAAUCCCUAUGUCUGUGGGCCACAUAUUUAAAUCUUGAGAAUAAUAGUCUUAGCUAUUCAAAUAUAUUUAGUUUUGUACUAUUACAAUAAAGCAGUGUCCAAAUAGUUUAAUCAGCUUUUUUCAUAUAAAGGUGCAAACUUAUGGGCCAAGUACUAGUCUUCAGUUAAUCUUGAUGUCAGUGAGAAUACUGGUAGAUAAUAGGUCAAAUUCUGCACAAAACCGAGGGCUGUUCAACAAUUGGUGCUGGGACAACUGGAUAACCACAUGCAAAAGACUAGGACCCUUACCUCACACCAUUUUGCAAAAAUUAACACAAAAUGGAACAAUGACAUAAAUAUAAGAGCAAAAACUAGAAAAUAUUCAGAAAAAAUGGGAUAAAUUUUUAUCAUCUUGGAUUUGACAAACAUUUCUCAGAUCAAAAGCACCAGCCACCAAAACAAACCAUAAAUCAGACAUCAUCAAAAACUAAAAAUUUGGGGCCAGGCGUGGUAGCUCACGCCUGUAAUCCAAGCACUCUGGGAGGCCGAAG